UUGGAUCCACUAGAGAAAAAAGAGAGAGAAGAAAGAAUGAGAGAAGAAAGAGAGAGAAGAGAGAGCUCUCUUCUCUUCUUCUUCAAUAUAGGGGAACUCCCCCAUCUCUUCUUCUCAAACAUGGUAGCAAGAACACCGGAGGGUAGUAGCCUAGGGCUACAUUUGGCAGUGGCAACAAUGACAGCCUUGGCAAUGGCUACAGCAAGUGGUGGUCGGCAAAAAUUAAGAAAAAAAACAUGAAACAAGCAAGAACCUAUUCUUUCCAAUCUACGAACAAACAAUGCAAUGGUGAUACUCAUG
rnacentral:lncRNA from 1 species